GAUGAACGCUGACAGAAUGCUCAACACAUGCAAGUCAACUUGAAUUUGGGUUUUUAACUUAGAUUUGGGUGGCGGACGGGUGAGUAACGCGUAAAGAACUUGCCUCACAGCUAGGGACAACAUUUAGAAAUGAAUGCUAAUACCUGAUAUUAUGAUUUUAAGGCAUCUUAGAAUUAUGAAAGCUAUAAGCACUGUGAGAGAGCUUUGCGUCCCAUUAGCUAGUUGGAGAGGUAACAGCUCACCAAGGCGAUGAUGGGUAGCCGGCCUGAGAGGGUGAACGGCCACAAGGGGACUGAGACACGGCCCUUACUCCUACGGGAGGCAGCAGUGGGGAAUAUUGGACAAUGGACCGAGAGUCUGAUCCAGCAAUUCUGUGUGCACGAUGAAGUUUUUCGGAAUGUAAAGUGCUUUCAGUUGGGAAGAAAUAAAUGACGGUACCAACAGAAGAAGUGACGGCUAAAUACUUGCCAGCAGCCGCGGUAAUACGUAUGUCACGAGCGUUAUCCGGAUUUAUUGGGCGUAAAGCGCGUCUAGGUGGUUAUGUAAUUCUGAUGUGAAAAUGUAGGGCUCAACUCUGUAUUGCGUUGGAAACUUGUUUUCUAUAGUACUGGAGAGGUAAGCGGAACUACUAGUGUAUAGGUGAAAUUCUUAGAUAUUUGUAGGAAUGCCGAUGGGGAAGCCAGCUUACUGUACAGAUUCUGACUCUAAGCUGCGAAAUCGUGGGUUGCUAAACGGGAUUGAUAUCCUUGGGUAUCCUAGGGCUGAUGUUCCUCAUUGGAUAUUAUUCCUAUCGAUUCCUUUGACUGCGUGGGGGGGCUCGGUUUCCAUCUAAUAAAACCUGUAAAUAUGUGUAAAUUAAAAAUUCUCUGUCUGCUUUUGCUCUGUCCCCAUCCCCCUCUCGUCAUCCUGCUGUGCUGUUUUCUUUGUGUUCACUGUGUCUAUGAUGUCUAACCUUGCCUCUUGUAUAUCUCGCCUCCUGCUCUUGUGUGUGCAUCUACUCCCUCUUCCUUUCUCCCCCCCUGCUCCUGAACUGUGUCUAUGCCAUGUGCCUAUAGCCCCUGAUGUUUAUGCCUGCUGUACUUCCCUAGUAUGUCCUCCCUUGUCCUGCAUCCCUCCUUCCUUGUGUUUGUUGUUAUUUCCGUGCUUACCGCUGUUAUCUUCAUUAUUAACUACCUGUACUAGUUAUAUGGCUGGUUCUUCCCCUUGACCUUAGCUAUGCCCUGACCCCUCCUAUUUGUAUGUAGCUAUGCCUCUGGCCCUGAGUUUUUGCCCAUUCUAUAUCCCUAUGCCACUAGUACCUUUAUUAAAC
rnacentral:rRNA from 1 species